rfam:Gorilla gorilla gorilla genomic chromosome, chr1, whole genome shotgun sequence
CCAAAGGCUCUUUUUAGAGCCAUCAUUUUUCCUGGCAGGUGGUA